GCUGGGUGGGGUAAAUAUUUCACAUUGUUUUUAUUUUUAUACACAGACAAAACCUGAAGGACAAGUCCACUUUUUCCCAGUGAUCUUUAAUAGAAAGCAACUCUAUGAUGUUAUGGUAGAACGAGCAGGUCCAUCAAAGACUAGCUUGCCAAAGUAGUUUAAGAAAGUUGGUGUUCCAGCGCAAUAGUCAGGGUAUCUUUUGGGGAUUCGAGUUGCACCGUGGCGGCCAAAAGCUAGUAGUUCCUGUAAGUUAUGUGCUUAAUUUCCCUUUACACAAUGUUGUAAUAAUUAAAUCUAAAAGUUUUCUUUACACAAUGUAAAGAUCCUUGUAAUAAUUAAAGCUAAAUGUUUUCUUAUUAAUAACCUCGUUUAUGUGUUGGUGAUCUUUCAGUUUUUUCGGGGUUAUCUUCAUAAUCAACAUAUGCGCAGUAAUGGAGAUUGAACUAGCCGGUAUAUUU